GAAAACAAAAUGAAACCUUUCUCGGGUGAAAGAAAAUGGAGAGAAUUUGUCACCAGCAGACCUGCUCUAAAAUAAAUGCUAAAAGAAGUUAUUCAGGAUGGAAGAAAAUUAUACCAGAUACUAAAGACUUCAGGAAUGAAGAAAGAGCAACAGAAAUGGCAAAUAGCUGGGCAAAAAUGGACUGUUUGGUGAUGGAGGCUGAGCGGAGGUGGGCUAAAAGGAAUAGAAGGAGAGUAACUGGUGAAGAAGGAGCAAAGAGUGAGGCACAAAAUGAAGUCUCACCAUGUUGCCCAAGCUGGUCUCAAACUCUUGGCCUCCAGAAAUCCUCCAACUUCAGCCUCCCAAGAUGCUGGGAUUACAGGUAAUAGCCACUGUGCCCAGUUAAGGCGCAACUUCUUUAUGGAGCUUUUCUUUACUUCUCCAAGCAAAAUUAGUUGCUCCCUUCUCUAUGUUCUCUGUACAUUUUAGUUUGUACCAUAUAAAAUUGCCUCUAUGUAACCAUU